rnacentral:tRNA from 1 species
GCCUGGGUGGCUCAGUCGGUUGAGCGUCCGACUUCAGCUCAGCUCGUGAUCUCACAGUUCGUGGGUUCAAGCCUCGCAUCGGGCU